UUUUUAAGUCUGAUGUGAAAGCCUUCGGCUUAACCGGAGAAGUGCAUCGGAAACUGGGAGACUUGAGUGCAGAAGAGGACAGUGGAACUCCAUGUGUAGCGGUGGAAUGCGUAGAUAUAUGGAAGAACACCAGUGGCGAAGGCGGCUGUCUAGUCUGUAACUGACGCUGAGGCUCGAAAGCAUGGGUAGCGAACAGGAUUAGAUACCCUGGUAGUCCAUGCCGUAAACGAUGAGUGCUAAGUGUUGGAGGGUUUCCGCCCUUCAGUGCUGCAGCUAACGCAUUAAGCACUCCGCCUGGGGAGUACGACCGCAAGGUUGAAACUCAAAGGAAUUGACGGGGGCCCGCACAAGCGGUGGAGCAUGUGGUUUAAUUCGAAGCUACGCGAAGAACCUUACCAGGUCUUGACAUCUUCUGCCAAUCUUAGAGAUAAGACGUUCCCUUCGGGGACAGAAUGACAGGUGGUGCAUGGUUGUCGUCAGCUCGUGUCGUGAGAUGUUGGGUUAAGUCCCGCAACGAGCGCAACCCUUAUUAUCAGUUGCCAGCAUUCAGUUGGGCACUCUGGUGAGACUGCCGGUGACAAACCGGAGGAAGGUGGGGAUGACGUCAAAUCAUCAUGCCCCUUAUGACCUGGGCUACACACGUGCUACAAUGGACGGUACAACGAGUUGCGAAGUCGUGAGGCUAAGCUAAUCUCUUAAAGCCGUUCUCAGUUCGGAUUGUAGGCUGCAACUCGCCUACAUGAAGUUGGAAUCGCUAGUAAUCGCGGAUCAGCAUGCCGCGGUGA
rnacentral:rRNA from 1 species